AAGAGUUUGUCGACCGUGGGGC
rnacentral:miRNA from 1 species